ACUAAAUAAAUUCUUCAUCAAUAAUAAUGGAACACUUUGGAGCAUUUUCCCGCUAUUCCUUUUUUCUCAUUGCUUGUAUUUGCGGCAUAUUCGUAAUGACUCAAAUUCUCUCAGCAAAUGCAGAAGUAUGUGAAGUAGAAACUCUCGAUGAUUCAUGUGAUGCAAAACAAUGUUUGGCCGACUGCCAAAAAGAUCAUGGAGCUAAUUUCAUUGACGCAAUCUGUCAGAAAGGAAAUAUAUGUUUAUGCUUCUUCAAUAGCGCCAAGCCAUGUAAUCCCGGACAAAAAUCUAGAAGACAACAUCGUACCCUCCAAAUGUAUUAGAAUGGUUAUGUUGGAUAAUUUAAUUUUAUGUUAAAAGAAUACAUUUAUUUAUGGGAAGGAUUGAUGAAAAGAACUCAUUUCUAAGACGCCUCA